rfam:Ictidomys tridecemlineatus contig020127, whole genome shotgun sequence.
GGUCGUGGCUCAGCGGUAGAGCGCUUGCCUGGUAUGCUUGAGGCACUGAGUUCGAUCCUCAGCACCA